GACAGAGGGUGCAAACGUUGUUCGGAAUUACUGGGCGUAAAGGGCUCGUAGGCGGCCAACUAAGUCACACGUGAAAUCCCCAGGCUUAACCUGGGAACUGCGUGUGAUACUGGAUGGCUUGAAUUCGGGAGAGGGAUGCAGAAUUCCAGGUGUAGCGGUGAAAUGCGUAGAUAUCAAGAGGAACACCUGAGGUGAAGACGGGUUGCUGGGCCGACACUGACGCUGAUGCGCGAAAGCCAGGGGAGCGAACGGG
rnacentral:rRNA from 1 species